CAUAAACUGAGUACUUAGUCCUAAGUACUGUUCUUAGUCCUAAGUACUGUUCUUAGUCCUUCUUAUACCCUUCCGUGUGACCUUCUAGGUCAAGGGCAUUCUCCUAACCACAGAAUGAUUUCAGAAUAGCAAAGAUGGGUCUAGAAUACAGUCCAGUUGUGAACUUUGCCAGAUGACCCAAUAAUGUCCUUGAUAACAAUUUUUUUUGUUUUCUGAUCUCUGAUCCAAGCCAGGCCCCUGCGUGGCCUUUAGCCUCCACCUGUCUGGUCUUGCUCUACUCCGUGCUCUUUGCAUAAUGUUUCUUUUAUCUGGAACCAUCCCUCGCCGUUCCUUUGUCCGUCGUGAUCUUGAUUUUUUCCCGGUGUAGAUAGCUGUCCUGUGGAACGCCUCUCCCUUUUGGGUUUGUCCGACAUUUCUUCACGAUCAGAUUCAUGCUCUGCAUUUUUUGGAUCAUCGCAGAAGUGAGGUUGAAUCCUUUGUGCCUUUUAUCAAGAGUCCCACAAACUCAGUUUGUCCCCUCCUAGGUGAUGUGAACUUUGGCCACUUGGCCGAGGUGCCCACUGUAGAGGUAAACGUGUUCCCUUGUAAGGAAUGAUCUCUAAGUGGCAUCUCCCUGUCUUUUCCCUGUCAAGUUCUUAAACUCAAUUUAGCACUCAUUAAAUGCCCCCAACCAAUGAUUACUUAUGAUGGCUGCAGUAAUGCAUUGAUUACUUUCAAGAUUUAAACUUUUAAAAUGGAAACUUUCUUUUAGAAAGGAAGGGGGCUUUUUAUUAAGAGAAAAGAAUGGGUUGAGGGCUGGGGAUGUGGCUCAAGCGGUGGCGUGCUCCCCUGGCAUGCGUGCAGCCCGGGUUUGAUCCUCAGCACCACAUACAACAAAGAUGUUGUGUCCACCGAAAACUAAAAAAUAAAUAUUAAAAAAUUCUCUCUCUCUCUCCCUCCCUCUCUCUCUCUCUCCCUCCCUCUCUUUAAAAAAAAAAAGAAAAGAAAAGAUUGGGUUGAGGUUGUGGCUCAGUGGUAGAGCGCUUGCCUCCCACGUGUGAGAGCUGGGUUCAAUCCUCAGCACCACAUAUAAAUAAACAAAUAAAAUAAAGAUACUGUGUCCAUCUAUGACUAAAAAAUAUUUUUAAAAAAAAGAUAAAGCCGGGUACAGUAGCUCACACCUGUCAUCCCAGUGGCUGGGGAGGCUGAGACAGGAGGAUCACGAGUUCAAAGCCAG
rnacentral:lncRNA from 1 species